UUAAAGUUUUUUGUAUGUGUGUGUUUUUUUUUUUGCAGGUUUGUACAGGAAGUCUGUUUAACUGGUAUUUCUUGGCUUUUUUGGGAUCAGAGGAGUUAACAAUUGCUGGAAUGACCUUCACUUCAUUUGAUCUGGGGGGUCAUGUACAGGGUGAGAAAUGUUGAAAAAACAACAUCACAACUACGCCCUCUCCUGGAUCUUCUACAACCUAUCAGGACCGCUCUCCUGCUGAAGUCACAUCACUGCUGCAGGACAGAGAGACGGAUGACAUCACCUCACUCAAGUAUUACACCAGUGCAGUCUGAAUUGUUGCAUGUUAAUGCAGGGGUUCCCAAAAAGGGGUCUCAAGAUGAGUUCCAGAAAUGAUUUUUUAUUAUUAGCAAUAGCUUAUUUAAUCAGUAAGUGUAACAAAACAUACAAAUACUAGUUUAGUUAAAAGCCUUUGGAAUCUCCUCCCCCUCGAUCAUGACCCCUGAGGUAAUUACAUCACAUUUUGAUUGGCUGUAGGGAUGACCUCAGUCAGCUUACAUUCACCACCAUGUGCAUUAAGGAGAGUUUGAGGGUUCACCCGCCUGUUCUGGCUCUGACCCGACAAAGACAUGAAGAUUCCAGGAGACCUUGUCAUUUCACAGUCUAUUCACUUCAAUGAUGUCACAUCAAAUCCAGAGACUUUACUGCGUAAAACAAGUAUAAAAACAAUAUUUAAAUCAGAUGCUAAUCAUAUUUUUCUAUCUGGAGGAUGUUUGUUCUUGAUAAGUAUUUCCGGUGUUCAUCGUAAUCCUGUCAUCUGGAGCGAUCCAGAGGUGUUUGACCCCAUGCGCUUUGAACCGCAGAGCCCAAAGGAAAGAUCACCUCAUGCUUUAAUAGCAUUCUCUGCAGGACCCAGGAACUGCAUUGGUCAAGAACUUUUCUAUGGCAGAAACGAAGGUGGUGGUCACUAAGGCGCAAGCUGUCAAGGUCCAGAAUUCUGCCCGAACCCAAACCGGUGCGUCGCCUCUAAAAGCUGCUCAUGAGAGAAGAAGGAGGAAGGAUUUUAAACUUUCAGCCUCUCACGCUGUCUCAGGAACAGUAGCCUCCAAAAAUACAUUUAGACAUAAGCAGCACCCUUAUACAUAGUAAACAAGUCUGUCGUUUUGAUUUAUAAAUCUGUGUGUAAAUGUUUAUGGAAAUUAAAUAUUUCACACAGUACGCCACUGAUAACUAGAAUAUAUCUGCACAUGUGACACGCACUCAACCUGUGAAGUCCAGGGCCCGGUUGCAUAAAGCACCUAAAGUGUGAUUUUCAAUUAAGUGUGCCUUUAAAUAUACCUAAAGUUUUAAUAAAGUUAUUCUCCUAUUGUGUUUGGUAAAGGGAAAUCACUUAAGAAAAACUUAAGGUGCUUAAUGCAACUGGGCACAGGAACUGUAGAUGAGAUGAGUGACAUCUGGUGUUCACAGCUCGUGCAAAACACACCUGCAAUAAACACAUGCAGAAAACAAGCACAAUCUAUUAUAAACAUUUUUAAGACUUCAAAACUUUAAAUAAUAUUACAGCAAAUACAGAAAGAGCUGCACACUAGAGCUGCUUUAAGCAAACUCUAAACCAAUAUAAACUCCCUCACAUCUGUUACUAACAUUAGAGAA